AAGGAGGAAAAGGAGCCAUGGAUGGCUUUGUACAUUAAUCUGAGUCCACAAGAGAUGCUUGGAGUCCCGGCGUACCAGCCCAACAGCCCUGGGAAAAAGAGGAAGCCAGGACCCACUUUCGAUCCCUGUCCUGGUAUUUGCGGAUGUUAUAAGGAGGAAAAAGUGUCAUGAUGGCUUAUAUAUGAAUCUGAGUCCGCGAGAGCUUCUUGGAGUCCUUUCACACCAGCUCAACGGCCCUGGGAAAGAGAGGAAGCCGGACAUACAAGAACUGGGGUACAGGCCAGAUGCGCAGAGCAUGAGAGGAUUCACCAGAGACAGAGCGAGGAACAGAACAGGCAGACUGAUGAAAUACACUGCUGAGGGGAGCAGCGGCGAGACAGGGGAGGUCUGCCGCGCCAUGUGGGACCCUCACUGGCCAGCCGGGAUCAAACCAGUGCUGCAGAGGCUGGGGACAGCUUAACAGCACUGCA